rnacentral:lncRNA from 1 species
CGGUCCUUUAUUUCUAAAAAAAAUGAAGAUCAUUUAGAAAAAAAAAUUUGGGUUGCCUCCCAAAUAGCGCUAUGUUUAACGUCUUUAGCCAGACGCUAAAAGAGUGUCUAUCCUAUUUCUGCCCGAAUCUUAACAUGAGUCUGUAAUUCUCUGCAUGAUUCAGGCUCUUCCUCAAGGUAUUUUCUACUUGGGACUAUUAUAUGACUCAUUCUCCUAAUAACU